UUUCUUUGCUGGCGACCGGCGCACGGGUGAGUAACACGUAUCCAACCUGCCCUUUACUCGGGGAUAGCCUUUCGAAAGAAAGAUUAAUACCCGAUGGCAUAAUGAUUCCGCAUGGUUUCAUUAUUAAAGGAUUCCGGUAAAGGAUGGGGAUGCGUUCCAUCAGGUUGUUGGUGAGGUAACGGCCCACCAAGCCUUCGAUGGAUAGGGGUUCUGAGAGGAAGGUCCCCCACAUUGGAACUGAGACACGGUCCAA
rnacentral:rRNA from 1 species